ACACACAUACCCAUACAUAAAUAUAUUUAUAUAUACAUGUAUAUAUAUUCAUUAAUUUGAAUUUACUUAUCAUACCUAAUAUCUAUACUAUAUAUUACAAGUUACUAUAUAUUACCAUUUUAUGUUUUUUCUUUUUUUUAAAUUACAUGUAUAUCUGUCUCUAUGUAGCCCUGGCUGUCCUGGAACUCACUCUGUAGCUUAGGCUCAAACUCAUGUAUGUGCCUUUUCUCUGCCUCCUGAGUACUAGGAUUAAAUGUGUACUGGCAGGCAGGAGCUUUGUUUAUUAGAAUAAAUCUAUAUAGCAAAUUAAAACUUUAUUUUCUUUCAUAGACAUAUUUAAAAGUUUUGUUAUUGAAAAAAAUUUUUAAUGGUAGGAUAGAAUACUAUCUCUAAAUGAUAAGCAAUAACCAUAAGAGAAUACAAAAGGCAUGAAGAUUAAAAUGUAGCUUUUUGGUUAUUAUUUAACAUUUUCUUCAGUGUAUUUAUGACUGAAGUAAAUACAUAAGAAACUAGUUAGAUCUCAAUUUAAAAUUAUAUACUUUAAUAUCAAUCAUAAGAUAAUAGAUGUGCAUAUAUUUUUUAUAAAUAUUUCAGAUUGACUGUUCAUUUCUGAAAACGUUUCCUCAUGUUGAACUGUGUAAGAUACUUUAUAUCUGACAUUUUUUGACGAAUAAUGGUCUCUUAAUAGCAUGUGACUGAAAGCUCAACACUAGAAAAAUUGAAGAUGUAACAUCAAGAAUUCAAGGGCGACCUAGGCUACACCCUGUCUCAAAAACAACAUGGGUUUUAUUGAAUUAGAAUGAAUUACAAUGAACUUUCUAAUUUAUGUUUUGAAAACAUACUGAAAUUUGUAUUCAUGUGAAUUUGUAUUGUCCCCCUGUCCCAGGCUGUUCAGCAGACAUGACCCACAAGCAGAGGAAGCGUUAGCGAAGAGGAGAGGAAGGAACAGUCCAAACGGGAACCUCAUUAGGAUGCUUGUUCUUUUCUUUCUGGAAAGUGAGGUAAGAAGCGAUUUAGUUCCCUCUUCUUUACUUCUGUUUUUUUGACUCAUUGAAAGCAGUUGGGGUUCAUUUCAGUCAUAGGAAAACAAGCCUUUUCCUUGUAAAGUUUCCUUUUUGAAUUACUCCAUACUCAGCUUUUUGUGAGAAAUUCUGAAUAUAUGUGUAGGAUUGUAUCAAUAUACUUAAAGGAAUGUAUCAAUACUGAAUACAGUUUAGAUUAGAAUAGUAAGUUUAAAAGUUUUACAUUGUUUAUAGAAUGCCAGUUUUACAUGCUUUUUUUUAAUGUUAAAUUUCUCCCUAUAGCUCUUAAAUUAUUUUAUUAAACAGUCUUAAGGGCUUGAGAGGUUUGGGUUGUGGUGGAGUUUUGCCUGGCACACAGAAGGCCCUCAGUUAAAGUCUGCAUUGUCAAGUAAUGGUAGCACAUAGCUGUCAUCCCAGCACUCAGAAGGCAGAGGCAGAGGAUCUCUAUAGGGUGGAGUCUACUCUGGUUUACAGAGCAAGCUCCAGGGCAACCAAGGCUACACAGAGAAACCUAGUCUUGGGGGGAAAAAAACAACAAAAGUUGUGAAUGUUGUCAGACUAUUAAAACUCUUAGUUCUAGCUAUUUGAAUAUAAUAUUUAAUUUUUGUUUACUGUAGUCAGUUAUCAUUUUUGAAAUUUUAUAAGUAGCACGCACAGCAGAACUGUUAUUGGAAAGAAAAGUUUUAUUUGCUCACUAAAAUGUCUCUUAAUAAUUUAAUGCAUAUUUUCUACUACAGACAAGGUGAAGGUUAAACAAUAAUGUUGGUUAAAAGACCCUGAAUGUAUAAACUACUUAGUUCAGAAAUGAAUGAAAAUAGAAUUGCGAAAGAAGUAAAGAAAAUUAGAAGUCCAAGCAGACCUGGCAGCACAAACUUCUAAUCCAUAGUAGAUGAGUGGAUGUGUCAGGCAGAUCACAAGUGCAGUGCCUGACUAGGCUAACUGUGAUUUCAAGGCCUGCUAUUCAACUUAGACCCUAAAUUUCAGAAUUUUGAAAUACAAAAGAGAGUUGGGGAUAAGACCCUUGCCUGUUAUGUAUCAGGCUCUAGUUCAAUAUCACGAAGAAAAGAAAGAAUUUUUAAAAAUUAAGACUCAACUUUACUUGGAAAAAAUAAAAUGUCAGAGAAAGAAACCUAAGAGGUUUUAUGAAUGUUCUAAUUUGAUAGCACUAUAACUACUCUAUAAAAAUGGAGUAAGACAACCUAUGUCAAAACUAAAG
rnacentral:lncRNA from 1 species